rnacentral:rRNA from 1 species
GUCUAUGGCCAUACCAUCCUUAAAGUGCCUGAUGUUCUCUGAUCUCAGAAGCUAAGCAGGGUUGGGCCUGGUUAGUACUUGGACGGAAGAAUAUAUUUUAAGAAUUUAGGAAGGGAUUAAUG